rnacentral:rRNA from 1 species
AACGGCCGUACCAUGCUGAAUAUACCGGUUCUCGUUAGAUCACCGAAGUCAAGCAUCAUUGGGCGCGGUCAGUACUUGGGUGGGUGACCACCUGGGAACACGCGUGCCGUU